rnacentral:tRNA from 1 species
GUUUAAGUAGUUUAAGUAAAACGUUGGUCUGUGGAGCCUGAGAUAUAAUUUAAUGUUAUUUUAAACA